rnacentral:rRNA from 1 species
AUUGAACGCUGGCGGCAGGCUUAACACAUGCAAGUCGAGCGAGCGGCGGACGGGUGAGUAAUGUCUGGGAAACUGCCUGAUGGAGGGGGAUAACUACUGGAAACGGUAGCUAAUACCGCAUACCAUCCAAUAUGCCCAGAUGGGAUUAGCUAGUAGGUGGGGUAAUGGCUCACCAAGCCGACGAUCCGUAGCGGGUCUGAGAGGAUGAUCAGCCACACUGGAACUGAGACACGGCCCAGACUCCUACGGGAGGCAGCAGUGGGGAAUUUUGGACAAUGGGCGCAAGCCUGAUGCAGCCAUGCCGCGUGUGUGAAGAAGGCCUUCGGGUUGUAAAGCACUUUUGGCGAGGAGGCGGUACCUACAGAAGGAGCACCGGCUAACUCCGUGCCAGCAGCCGCGGUAAUUC